UGGACAGAUUAUUGUAUUCGACUGUAUUCACGGCGUGAAACAGGGGAUUACACCGUCUUUAAACGGAAAGUAAAUCAAUUAACAUAAUUGUAUUGG
rfam:Nicotiana attenuata strain TT chromosome 8, whole genome shotgun sequence.